AUUGAACGCUGGCGGCAGGCCUAACACAUGCAAGUCGAACGGUAACAGAAAGCAGCUUGCUGCUUUGCUGACGAGUGGCGGACGGGUGAGUAAUGUCUGGGAAACUGCCUGAUGGAGGGGGAUAACUACUGGAAACGGUAGCUAAUACCGCAUAACGUCGCAAGACCAAAGAGGGGGACCUUCGGGCCUCUUGCCAUCGGAUGUGCCCAGAUGGGAUUAGCUAGUAGGUGGGGUAACGGCUCACCUAGGCGACGAUCCCUAGCUGGUCUGAGAGGAUGACCAGCCACACUGGAACUGAGACACGGUCCAGACUCCUACGGGAGGCAGCAGUGGGGAAUAUUGCACAAUGGGCGCAAGCCUGAUGCAGCCAUGCCGCGUGUAUGAAGAAGGCCUUCGGGUUGUAAAGUACUUUCAGCGGGGAGGAAGGGAGUAAAGUUAAUACCUUUGCUCAUUGACGUUACCCGCAGAAGAAACACCGGCUAACUCCAU
rnacentral:rRNA from 1 species